UCAACUAUGUUUCUCAUCUAAGAAAGAACAUAAACAAUCGUGCUACAUCAAGUCUGUGGUUGGGUUUUGAAUUAUCUGGGACAAUAUUUCACUAUCUGUACAUCAAAUGACAGUGUAAUGAGUGACUUACCUGCUGGUACUCACAACGUAUCCCAAGCAGGUGAUGGGAGAGGUAGAGCACUGAGAGGACACAACCCAGACCCCACAUGUCGAUCGCCUCUGUGAAGGGGAGACCCAGGAUCACUUCAGCUGGAACAAACAUCUGUACAAACAUGAAGUUUGCAGAAUGUGUGCCUACCUGUACCCGGUAGCCUGUGCCAUCAGACCCGGCCUCACUUCACUGGUGUGAAGUGACAGACCAAAAUCUAUGAGCUUGACUCUGAAGGGCUGGUUCUGAUGGUUCACCAGCAUGAUGUUAUCAGGCUUCAGGUCAGCGUGGAUGACACCAAUACCUUUGAGAGCAUCAAAAGCUGUGAGCAGCUGCAGGAAGAAAGAGGAGGACAUGAAGAGGGUUACAGACACUAUUCACAAGUGUGCAGGGGUUUUCAGGUUCAUAGCACAUAUUAUCUGUAUCUGUAUGAAGUACAAGUCUGUUUUACUUCAUGAUUUUAUUAAUCUGUUAGCCACACAUUCUUUA